GGGGGGCUGGCGCAAUUGGCUUAGCGCAUUAGAUUCCAGCGACGCAAAGCCGCGAGAUUCCUAAAGGUUAUCGGUUCAAGUCCGAUGUCCCUCA